CCCACCUUCUUCCCCUGUCGAGCCCCCACCCACCUCUCCCGACCGCAACCCACACCUAUGCGCGACCACCCUCCGUCCCCAUCCCCACAAGCACGUCGCUCCGGCGUGGCUCGGGCGCUAGAUCCCGAGCGACCGCGCCCCCUGGCACCCCUCUCAUCCUUCAUCUGCCCCCCGCGCCCCCAAACUUGCUCCAACGCUACCGGAAGCCACGACCGCCUCCCGUGCGCCGCCGACCUGCCAUGACACCGGAUCCGGCCCCCACACAACAUGUUCUUCCUCCACCACAUGCCUACUGCCUUGAUCUGGACCUGACGACGGGCUCCUCCCUCCAGCUCCUCUCCGAUAGAGCAUCGGGCUGGGUCCUCGUCGUGGCCCCGCUCAGAUCCGGGGAUGGCCGGCGGCCUCCCAUGGGCUUCCCCCUUCUCAGUCUCCUCUCUGACAAGCAGCGUGCCCCGAGACGACUCCUCGACUUCAUCUCCCUAGAGCUCGCCCUGACCCACGCAUCCGACGUCCUUGAAGUCGUUGUUUGUCAGGCCGCAAUUAUCCAAAUGGGAGGAAGAUCCUGAGGGUGUUAGUAGAAAAGGAAGUGCACUCGAUGAACACUAGCGGCCCAGUUGUUUGUGGUUCGCUCGCUAUGUAAAAAGUGAAGUUUAUUUGUAAUGAUGCUUCUGGUUUGUUCGAUAUGUAAUAGAAAUUUUAGGCACAUGCAGUACACUACAUUCAUCCCACGCAGCUCAGAACAAUCACACACAAAAAACAGUGGGAAAAAGUGCAGCCCCUUGGUGGUUCAAUUUGUAAAAAAAGAGAAAGAAAUCCCCACGGGAGGUUCACUUCUUUCUCUGAUGCAAUUUGUUUUGUUUAUGGGAUGAUUGGAAAAAGUAAUUCACUUCAAUUUGUGUAGCAACUCAUAACCCUAUGUAUGAAGUGCAAUUUGUUUCGUGUGUUUUUAAAAAAUCAAUUGAUUACA